UGGAAAGUGGACCAAUCCAAUGAAUGCCUUUUAUUUAACUGGCCGAUUCAAAGGUACUGUUGCAUGCUCAAUGCUCGUGCCUUUAUGAGGAGAGAGCAGCUGCAUCUGAAAGAUGCUUCAGACUUGUGGCAAUUUUGCAUGCUGAACUUAAGAGCUGAAUUAAGGGGUUUCCUUGACUCCAUUUUGGUAGGGUUAGUAGUGGAAAUUCUUGAACGAUGAUUUGGAUUGAAAAUAUAAAAGAUUGAAGCUUCUUCCUAGAUAUCUUUACCAAUAUUAGUUGCAUUGAUAUUAGUUCGCUGUACAUUGUGUAGCCAAAUUCAAGGUGAGUUAGCUGCAGACAGAUGUAUUUGCAGAAAAGGGGGAUUAGAAGUUUCUACAUGGCAUGACAAAAUGUUUGUAGAUUACAUAGUCUAUUUUCCCUCGGUUUUAGCCCAAAACAAACAAAAGGGUUCCCACAUAAGUUUAUUGAGGUCAAAUAUAGAAGGAAAGGAAAGAACAAAAGUAGAAUGCCAGAGUAUCAUUAAGUUUUAUAUCUAAAAGGGCUCAACCAAAGCUAGUUCAGGCCGGGGUCUCUAAACAUCCCAUUUUCUGCAUUUGAAUGGUCUGCAAAAGUACCCCAGAUUUCUUAGCAUGUUUUAUUUCUUAGUCCAUUCUGGAAGUCUCCAUCUUGGAUCUUCCCCCCCAUAUCAUCAAGGUACUACUGGUUAUUAUCUUUGAAUGUGCCUGGUCCAGAUAUUAUCAGCUAGCCUCAAUAUAGCACUGAUGAGCCUCAUGCAACCUGAACUAAUAAUUGGUGAAGAGAAAUUAUAAUGUUACAUGGGCCAAUAUAUUUUCUUUUUUUGGUGGGGGUGGGGUAGGGGUGUUUUCUACAUCAAUUAGAAUUGACUCUUAUAUUUUAUAGAAAUUAAUUUGUGCCAACUCCAAAGCAUUUCUGCAGGUUACAACACCGUUACUUUUCAAGCUAAUUCCUGCUGUAGUUCACCUUGGAGUUCUACUGCGAUGGUUUUCCCUUGAUAUACCAAAUGAGGUAGGGUGGCUUUUUCCUUAAAAACAGCUGAUUCUCUCUCAGUUUUAUCAGCCUGCACACUCUGCAUGGUUUUUCUCUGAAUACUCGGAUUAGCUAAGAGUUUUAAGGUAUCUUCAAAAUGACUUUUAUCCCAGAUUGGAUCUAAAGGAGAUACCAUGCGCGCAGACAGUUCUAAGCGUAUUACUGUGCUGAUACAAGGCCCUCAUGAUUCAUGAUAAUAAAUAGAAACAUGAACAGUAAAGCGAUUCUCACACUUUACCUGAUGGCAUUCUUAUGCUGGGCGACAGGUGCCCAAGUGUGCAAAGGCUGUUGAUUGAUUGGAUGAUUGAUCAUCAUGACGCUCGUUUUAUGCACCCACAUCGGAUGGUUUUCUUUGAUAUGUCGGAAACUCUUCGCCAUAUGCAGAGCAGUGUAUACAAACAUUUUUCUGGCAUUUGUUUCCGGGACGGUGUUAACGGACUACUCUGUACAACCUCGUCCAUUUGUAAUGCAAUUUUUUGUUUUCUUUAAUCGCAAGUUUGAGUUUGUGGAAUUGGUGGUUUCAAGUUGGCAAGUGUAAAUAGCUGAUAGUACAUACUGUUAAGAGUGUUUAGCGUAUAAAGUCUUACUUUACUGUAUACAGUUGAGCUAUGACCUCCAAUUGUUUCACUAAAAUCAUUGAUUUUCUGCAAUUUUUUUGUGCAUAUCCAGAUCAUCUGUUUGGCAAAAA
rnacentral:lncRNA from 1 species